GUCCACGCCGUAAACGGUGGGCGCUAGGUGUGGGGAACAUUCCACGUUCUCCGUGCCGCAGCUAACGCAUUAAGCGCCCCGCCUGGGGAGUACGGCCGCAAGGCUAAAACUCAAAGGAAUUGACGGGGGCCCGCACAAGCGGCGGAGCAUGCGGCUUAAUUCGAUGCAACGCGAAGAACCUUACCUAGGCUUGACAGUUGGGGAAAUCUGGCAGAGAUGUCAGGUCCGCAAGGGCCCCAAAACAGGUGGUGCAUGGCU
rnacentral:rRNA from 1 species